AUACUUACCUAGACGGGGGAAGUGAGUGAUCAACAAGGCCAUUGGCCUAGGUUGGUGACCUUCAUUGCACGUCGGAGGGGCGCUCUCCUAACUUCCUUUUAUUUUGUUUACAGAAGAAUUAAAGAACAGAACGGUUUGCUUUUAUGAAUUUCUGCAUAGGUGCAAAC